AUUGAACGCUGGCGGCAGGCCUAACACAUGCAAGUCGAGCGAGCGGCGGACGGGUGAGUAAUGUCUGGGAAACUGCCUGAUGGAGGGGGAUAACUACUGGAAACGGUAGCUAAUACCGCAUACCAUCAGAUGUGCCCAGGUGGGAUUAGCUAGUAGGUGGGGUAACGGCUCACCUAGGCGACGAUCCCUAGCUGGUCUGGUAGGAUGACCAGCCACACGGGAACUGGUACACGGUCCAGACUCCGACGGGAGGCAGCAUGGGGGAAUAUUGCACAAUGGGCGCAAGCCUGAUGCAGCCAUGCCGCGUGUGUGAAGAAGGCCUUCGGGUUGUAAAGCACUUUCAUCGGGGAGGCGUUACCCGCAGAAGAAGCACCGGCUAACUCCGUGCCAGCAGCCGCGGUAAUUC
rnacentral:rRNA from 1 species